rnacentral:RNase_P_RNA from 2 species
AAGCAAACUGGUUCUAUCGCUGCUCUGUGUUUAAACAGAGAAGAGGAAAGUCCGGGCAACAAAGAGCGACACGCUUCCUAACGGGAAGGCUAUUUAAAAUAGACAGCAAGUGCCACAGAGAAUAUACCGCCUUGCAAAAGGUAAGGGUGAAAACGUGAGGUAAGAGCUCACGGUAUUGUAUGGCGACAUGCAUUACGGUAAACCUCGUGUGUUGAAAGACCAAAUAGGUUACGAGUUCGGAAAGCUGCUCGUUUUCUGCCUUCGGGCACUCGUAAUGGGUAGGUUGAUGGAGCUUGUGUGUAAAUGCAAGCCUAGAUAAAUGAUAGAAAUUCAGUAAUGGAUACAGAACCCGGCUUACAAAGUUUGCUUCUUU